GGGCCCAUAACUCAGUCGGUUAGAGUAGCGGUCUCAUAAUCCGUUAGUCCUAGGUUCGAGUCCUAGUGGGCCCA
rnacentral:tRNA from 1 species